GAUGAACGCUGGCGGCGUGCCUAAUACAUGCAAGUCGAGUGAAUGGAUUAAGAGCUUGCUCUUAUGAAGUUAGCGGCGGACGGGUGAGUAACACGUGGGUAACCUGCCCAUAAGACUGGGAUAACUCCGGGAAACCGGGGCUAAUACCGGAUAACAUUUUGAACCGCAUGGUUCGAAAUUGAAAGGCGGCUUCGGCUGUCACUUAUGGAUGGACCCGCGUCGCAUUAGCUAGUUGGUGAGGUAACGGCUCACCAAGGCAACGAUGCGUAGACGACCUGAGAGGGUGAUCGGCCACACUGGGACUGAGACACGGCCCAGACUCCUACGGGAGGCAGCAGUAGGGAAUCUUCCGCAAUGGACGAAAGUCUGACGGAGCAACGCCGCGUGAGUGAUGAAGGCUUUCGGGUCGUAAAACUCUGUUGUUAGGGAAGAACAAGUGCUAGUUGAAUAAGCUGGCACCUUGACGGUACCUAACCAGAAAGCCACGGCUAACUACGUGCCAGCCGCCGCCGUAA
rnacentral:rRNA from 1 species